UACGUAGGGUGCGAGCGUUGCCCGGAUUUAUUGGGCGUAAAGGGCGCGUAGGCGGCCACGCACGUCCGUUGUGAAAUCGCCCCGGCUCAACUGGGCGGGGGUCAGCGGAUACGGUGUGGCUCGAGCAAGCUAGGGGGCAAUGGAAUUCCCGGUGUAGUGGUGGGAAUGCGUAGAUAUCGGGAGGAACACCAGUGGCGAAGGCGGUUGCCUGGAGCUUUGCUGACGCUGAGGCGCGAAAGCGUGGGGGAGCGAUCCGG
rnacentral:rRNA from 1 species